rnacentral:misc_RNA from 1 species
UGUGGACUCUAGAGAGGGUUGAUGUAUGCAACCUCACCCCUGUUUUGUAAAGAGACUGUGUUCGUGGCUCCAACCCAUUACCUCCAUAUCACAAAUGGAGUAACUUUACUAUUACACUAAAGAGAAUACAAUCUUAUAUUCAACAACAUAUUCUGUAGUGGCAAAAAAUGGAAACCUGAACAGAUUAUUAGCCGUUAACUUAUGAGAGGUCAAAGUUAUAGAUAUAGCUGUAGUUUCUAUUUAGGAAUGGACUUAGCCAGUUCACAUUUCAAUCAGCAAAUGAUAUACUUUUCCGGUGGCAUGGUGGCCUAUUCUCAUGUGGUGUGAUUUGAAGUUAAAUCGACUCAAUGACUUUCACAUAAUGAAUGAUUUUAAUAUAUACCUCUUAUAAAGUACUAAAUAUUUUUGUUAAAUUUCAUGUAAAAGCAUUUUAUGGGUGCCUGUCUACAAUAUUUGAUUUGGGAAACAUUCCAUUUAGUUAUUCAUUAAAAAGGAAAAAGAAAAAAAAUCUGCAAUCUCCUAUGUGCUGAAAUAUGAUUUAGACACUGAUUCUAUAAUUUUAAAGCCCAGAAGACUGCAUCAGCAUUUAUGGUUCUAAUGGGAUCAGAAAUGUGGUAUGGUUGGAAUUGCUGAACAGCUGCUUAAAAGGUACAAGCCUAUUUGUUGGUGAAGGAAUUAUGAAAAGACAGUUGUCUAUAGGUUGUAAUGGUGUACAAAAAAUUUUGACAUUUGUGGUCCAAUAGAUGGUACAUGAAAAAAGGGCUGCUAGUUUGGGGCCUGUCAGCAAACUCCAAUAGGCUUUUUAGGGGAUUUUCGGCUGUAAAUUAUUUUUUUGAUGGUAUAGGGUUUCGAAGGCAGGAUUUUCAUGAUCUGAUUGGGCUUUGGAUUUGUAGUUGGUUACAUGAGUCCAGUAAUUUAACAGGAAAUAAAAAGGACAGUAAAGCGCUGUCCAAGCAAUCAAAUUAGGGACAAGGUAAUACAUCAGAGCCUCAAGCUGCUUAUGAAGAUUUUUUCUAUUGAAUUAGGUUGCACUGGCAGCUCAGUCUUCUAAAACUAGGAGGAUAGGUGGUGAAGUGGAGGAUUUAGAAUUUUGUAGGUCAAUUCAGGUUGUAUCUCUGGAGUAUUCUAGAGCCUAAGAAAAACUGACAAUAAAGUUCUAACUUAGAUGGGAGACAUUGAAU